rnacentral:rRNA from 1 species
UACGGAGGGAGCUAGCGUUGUUCGGAAUUACUGGGCGUAAAGCGCACGUAGGCGGCUUUUGUAAGUUAGAGGUGAAAGCCUGGGGCUCAACCCCCAGAAUUGCCUUUAAGACUGCAUCGCUUGAAUCCAGGAGAGGUGAGUGGAAUUCCGAGUGUAGAGGUGAAAUUCGUAGAUAUUCGGAAGAACACCAGUGGCGAAGGCGGCUCACUGGACUGGUAUUGACGCUGAGGUGCGAAAGCGUGGGGAGCAAACAGG